rnacentral:rRNA from 1 species
UACGUAGGAUCCAAGCGUUGUCCGGAUUUACUGGGUGUAAAGGGUGCGCAGGCGGACUUGUAAGUUAGAGGUGAAAUCUCGCUGCUCAACAGCGAAACUGCCUUUAAUACUGCAAGUCUUGAAUUGGGGAGAGAGUCGCGGAAUUCCGAGUGUAGCAGUGAAAUGUGUAGAUAUUCGGAAGAACACCAGUGGCGAAGGCAGCGACUUGGCCCUAUAUUGACGCUCAGGCACGAAAGCAUGGGGAUCAAACAGG